rnacentral:rRNA from 1 species
UAGGGAAUCUUCGGCAAUGGACGAAAGUCUGACCGAGCAACGCCGCGCGAGUGAAGAAGGUUUUCGGAUCGUAAAACUCUGUUGUUAGAGAAGAACAAGGACGUUAGUAACUGAACGUCCCCUGACGGUAUCUAACCAGAAAGCCACGGCUAACUACGUGCCAGCAGCCGCGGUAAUACGUAGGUGGCAAGCGUUGUCCGGAUUUAUUGGGCGUAAAGCGAGCGCAGGCGGUUUCUUAAGUCUGAUGUGAAAGCCCCCGGCUCAACCGGGGAGGUGCAUUGGAAACUGGGAGACUUGAGUGCGGGAGAGGGGAGUGGAAUUCCGUGUGUAGCGGUGAAAUGCGUAGAUAUAUGGAGGAACACCAGUGGCGAAGGCGGCUCUCUGGGCUGUAACUGACGCUGAGGCUCGAAAGCGUGGGGAGCAAACAGG